AAUGAACGCUGGCGGCAUGCCUAACACAUGCAAGUCGAACGAGACCUUCGGGUAUACUGGCGCAUGGGUGCGUAACGCGGGGGAACCUGCCCUUAGGUUCGGAAGAACUCUCCGAAAGGGGUGCUAACACCGGAUAAUGUCCUCGGACCAAAGGUUUAUCGCCUGUGGUUGGGCCCGAGUUGGAUCAGCUUGUUGGUAGGGUAAAAGCCUACCAGGGCGUCGAUCCAUAGCUGGUAUGAGAGGAUGGUCAGCGACACUGGGACUGGGACACGGCCCAGACUCUUGCAGGAGGGGGGAAUGCGGAAUAUUGGAAGAUGGGCGGAGGGCUGAAGCAGCAAUGCCGGGUGAGUGAUGAAGGUCUGAAGGUAGUAAAGCACUUUUACCCGGGGUGGUAAUGACAGUACCGGGAGAAUAAGCACCGGCUAACUCCGUG
rnacentral:rRNA from 1 species